UGCCAGUGAUGAUUUAACUUCGGUCCGUGUUUUUGAUAUUUUUAUGAUAGUAUUUUGAAGUCCUGAGGCA